AGUGAACGCUGGCGGCGUGCUUAACACAUGCAAGUCGAACGAGAACGGAUUAUAGCUUGCUAUAAUUGUCAGCUAAGUGGCGCACGGGUGAGUAAUGUAUAGGUAAUAUGCCUCUUACUAAGGGAUAACAAAUGGAAACGUUUGCUAAUACCUUAUACUCCUUAUUAACAGAAGUUAAUAAGGGAAAGAUUUAUUGGUAAGAGAUUAGCCUGUAUUGUAUCAGUUAGUUGGUGGGGUAAUGGCUUACCAAGACUAUGACACAUAACUGGUUUGAGAGGAUGAUCAGUCACACUGGAACUGAGACACGGUCCAGACUCCUACGGGAGGCAGCAGUGGGGAAUAUUGCACAAUGGACGAAAGUCUGAUGCAGCAACGCCGCGUGGAGGAUGACACAUUUCGGUGCGUAAACUCCUUUUAUAUGAGAAGAUAAUGACGGUAUUAUAUGAAUAAGCACCGGCUAAACUCCGUG
rnacentral:rRNA from 1 species